GUCAUUUAGUUUUUUACAAAGUUAGAAUGUCGCCAAAAAGCACUGGAUAAUAGUACUUAAUCAAGCUUAAACAACACUUGACAUUUAUUACAGGAUCUUCAUAGCUGUCUACUCAUAGUAAAAGAACAGAAAGAACUAUUAAUCUUUAUAGCUGUUCUGGUGAGACAACAGUAAGAAACACACCAGACCUUUAUUGAUUUAAGGAAAAACUAGCAACUAAAUGCAGCUCCUACGGUGUACAGGAGGUACGUGGUGGCAAUGGGCCAUGGUACGUAGAAGGUGGCAGGUUUGUUGGUGGGGUGGAUGGUCUAGUUUAUGGAGUGAGCAGAAGCCCAUAUGGAGGAGGAGAAGGGGGCGAAUAUGUAGUUGGUGGUGGUGGUGGUUGGCCAUACGUAGGUGUAGGUGUAGGUGUAGGUGGUCGUGGCUGCCUAUGAGGAGGAGGCGGUGAGUGAAUUCGUCUUGGCGGAGGAGGAGAGAUAGUCGGUGGUGGUUGGCCAUAAGUAGGUGUAGGUGUAGGUGGUCGUAGCUGCCUAUGAGGAGGAGGAGGCGAGUGAAUUCGUCUUGGCGGAGGAGGAGAGAAAGUCGGUGGUGGUGACUGCACUUGGCGAGGCGGAGGCGAGUAAAUUGGUGAUGGUGGAGGUGGUGAGUAUGCAGGUGGAGGAGGCGAGUAUGUUGGUAGAGGCGGUGGUGGUUGUGCAUAUGCAGGGGGAGGAGGCGAGUAUGUAGGUGGAGGAGGAGAAUACGUUGGCGGUGGUGGUGGUGAGUAUGCAGGUGGAGGAGGCGAGUAUGUUGGUGGAGGCGGUGGUGGUUGUACAUAUGCAAGGGGUGGAGGCGAGUAUGUAGGUGGAGGAGGAGAAUACGUUGGCGGUGGUGGUGGUGAGUAUGCAGGCAGAGGAGGGGAAUACGCUGGGGUAGGUGGAGGUGAUUGUCCAUAUGCGGGUGGAGGUGGCGAGAGGGAUGGUGGUGGUGGAGGAGGUGAGUAAAUUGGUGAUGGAGGCGGUGGUGAAGGCGAAUAUGUAGGUGGAGGUGGGGAAUACGUUGGUGGUGGUGGUGAGUAUGCAAGCGGAGGAGACGAAUAUGUAGGUGGAGGUGGGGAAUACGUUGGUGGUGGUGGUGAGUUUGCAGGCGGAGGAGGUGAGUAAAUUGGUGAUGGUGGCGGUGGCGAAUAUGUAGGCGGAGGAGGGAAGUACGUUGGUGGUGGUGAGUAUGCAGGCGGAGGAGGCGAGUAAAUUGGUGAUGGUGGCGGUGGAGAGUAUGUCGGUGGAGGAGGUGAGUAUGUUGGUGAGGGCGGAGGUGGUUGUGCAUAUGCAGGUAGAGG
rnacentral:lncRNA from 1 species